rnacentral:tRNA from 1 species
GUCAAUUUAGUUUAAUAAAAACAAGGGCAUGUGGCGCCUAAGAUGUAGCUGUAUUUACAGUUGACA